rnacentral:misc_RNA from 1 species
AAUAUAUCAACCUCUCUUGUUGAGUGUUGGAAGUGGGGGUCUUUUUUGCUGGUCUUUAGAUCAGCUCCCCUGAAAUGUAUUAGCAGAACAAUCCUGUUCAUUGGUGUGAUAAACUAUUUACACUAUUGAUGUAAGGAAAGUUCAGCUUCUAAUAGUCUAUUGACUUUUCAUUA